GCUUGAACUGGAGAGGACUCCCAUUCCAAGAAAGGUAAUUUCAUAUUUCAUGUGAUUUCCCUUCUGGAAAUGUCUCAAAAUUCCUCUAACUCAGCUUGUUCCUGUCUCCACCCCUAAUGCAAUCACUUACCACCCUGCUCUACUGCUUCGCAGGAGCCACGUGAAGCCAACACAUGGCAUGGUGCACAUUUUCCCCCAGGGCAUCCGGUCCUGUGCAAGGGAAGGCCCACCAGCUGUGCUUUGAGUGGAAGCAAGGUGAAGUCUGGAGUGUUUGACAGUUGGAUUCAGAGAUGGAGCUGGUUCCAAGCGUGAUCGUGGAUAGAAUCUGUUGAUGGAAAAACAAUGGCAACCCCCGGCCUGACAGUGGACAUGGCUGGUGCUGAAGUUUUGUGUCUCCAGGCAGCAGGCUGGGAAAGACUUUUGCUGCCUGUAUGACCCUAUGCUGGGGCUACCAAGGAGACUCCUGGGACUACACUCAGCAAGGGACAUUUUCAACUGGAUGGUGCUUAGAGCAGGAGAUGCCACUCAAGCCCUAACACACUGGAUGGAAGGGGGAACACACAGGUCUCCUUGAUGGAAGAGGCUUCUGAUUGACAGAGAAUUUGGGCCAGAGGCUUACAAGCAGAUGGACUAAGAGCAACAAAAGAAAAUGUCUACUGAUCCAGGUGAAGAUCAGCCAUGGAGGAUAUGCUCAGAGAGCUGGGCAUAAGAUUGCUCUGCAGAAGUGUUACCAAGAAAGACAGGCACCAGACAAAAAGAUAUACGGCACAAAUAUCUGAAUAAAGAGAUUGUUUUCUUGCUACAAUAAAUUCCUUUGUAUAUUUGAACCACA